rnacentral:rRNA from 1 species
GAUGAACGCUAGCGGCAGGCCUAAUACAUGCAAGUCGAACGAUAGUGAGAAGCUUGCUUCUCACGAAAGUGGCGCACGGGUGCGUAACGCGUAUGCAACCUACCUUAAUCAGGGGGAUAGCCCGAAGAAAUUCGGAUUAACACCGCAUAAAAUCACAGUAUAGCAUUAUACAAUGAUCAAAUAUUUAUAGGAUUAAGAUGGGCAUGCGUGACAUUAGUUAGUUGGCGGGGUAACGGCCCACCAAGACCACGAUGUCUAGGGGAUCUGAGAGGAUGACCCCCCACACUGGUACUGAGACACGGACCAGACUCCUACGGGAGGCAGCAGUAAGGAAUAUUGGUCAAUGGAGGCAACUCUGAACCAGCCAUGCCGCGUGCAGGAAGACAGCCCUCUGGGUCGUAAACUGCUUUUAUUCGGGAAUAAACCUAUCUACGUGUAGAUAGCUGAAUGUACCGAAGGAAUAAGGAUCGGCUAACUCCGUGCCAGCAGCCGCCGUAACAC